GAAAGGUUUUAAAAGUGAAAUUGCUCAAGAAGAAUGUCAGAUAUAAGGUUAGCAGGUAUCCUGAAUUGUGUUCCCAACUGAAACUGAUGGAGUAAGACUUAAACCACUGCAUUCAUCAGGAGCCAACUUCAAUUUACAACCUGUUAAAAGAAGAAAAGAGUGAUCUUUAUCUAGAGGACUAACAGACAAUAAGCUUCAGAUCGUACAUUAGGAAAAUAAUACACGUUUCGGGGGUAGUCAUGAAAUUGUUUAUGUCUUCUUGUCAUGUGCUGGGAAUAAAUAACAUGAGCAUUUUGAUGUUACAGUUUAUGAUUUACAGUUACAUUUUCUAUUCUUGCUCUGACUUUGAUCUUUUCAUCUAGGUUAGGAUGUAAAAUCUCUGGUUAGGGAUGCAUGAAAUAUUACUAUAUGUUAUCGGAUGAUAGUAGAGGUUCAAGUUCAAAUUACAGGUAAUGGACUCAAUUGGAUAUUCAAUCUUUCAUGCUUAUUUCCAUAAUUUUUAAAUUUAGGUUACCCUUUCAUCAUAUAAAACUUACUAAAAGUUGACCUUAAAAAACACUAAUAAUUUUGUGUAAUAGAAUAGAGAACACAUAUUCACAAUCAACUAAGAGUUUUCCCUGCACAAACUCCUAAUUUGCUGCUUAUUAAUAGUUAGUUAAGGUAGUUGUUAAGUUUAAGUAUAGGGUAGGAUUAAGAGAUCUAAAAUACGGUCAUGCAGAAUAAGGCAUUGAUAUGUACUAAUACACAGCCAAAAUGCUAGUAAUAUGCAUGCUAAAAAGCAACUAGUUAAAAGUGAGAAUUGAUCGUUAAAAUAGUGUUACUUUUUUUCUUUUUUCUUUUUUUGACACCAGACAUUAAUAUGUUGUGAUUGCAAUUUUUUUAUUUAUUUAUUUACUUUUAGACAAAGUAUAGAAUUUUAAGAUUUUAAUUUUAAGAUGUUCGUCUGUUAUCCACCAUCAGGUUAUUGGUAUCAGCCAGAAUGUUAAUAUUUAUAAGGCAGUAUAAGAAGGAAGAUACGGACCACUUAAUGUAAACCACUUAACGCAUGAUUUGAGUUAUAGAAGCAAUAUCCAAAGCAUUGUUGUCAGAUUUUAUUGCUGACUUGAAGACAUGUGGUAUUGGAAUGCAGUCCAAUGUCUUGGCCCAAUUCAGAUAGUUGCAAUAGAUAGAGCUACUCGCAUAAUGAAAAUAGUAAAUUGCUGCACAAUAAGAUGGCUGCCGAGCACACUGACUUGCCUUAAAGGGACUUUGAGUUUAUUCCUGUGCUUCUUCUGAAGUAUCGGAGUCUGUUUUUUUAAUCAGGUAGAUUUGCCUUUGGAGACAGCCUGCCAUAGAUAAGGCUGGAAUUUAUGAGAUUCUUCGCAUUCUGAAAACAAACAAUCAUAUUUUGCCUUGAAUGCGGUGUAGAUGAUAAUUUAAUUGGACUGAAGUGUGCAAUUUGACACUUCACCGCCGCGGCUUUCAUUUGAAAACAUCAGUAUGAUAAGCUAGUGCUUCAUUGAUCUGUUCUGAGUUGUUUUAGCCGUUGUCUGUUUAAUGAGUCUGCAAAGCUAAGCUCUUUUCAUUUAUUUGGGGACUAAGGGAUCUGAGCAUGAAUAAUCACUUCAUAAGUAUGAUAGUAACAAAAGGCGUUUGUUAUAUAUGUGUAUUCAUAUCUGCACAUACUCUAGUUUACCCAAGGAUCAAGUUGUUUUGAAUUAGCUUUGAAGCACAAAUCACCCAAUGCAAUUACGAUCCUCACCACGCCUCAGUGAGGUAUAUCUGCGCCUGUAUCUGUGCGUCAAGGACGUGUGACAAAACCCCCAUCAGGAGCAGGGCGAAGGUCUGGCAUAAUGUGAUUUCAGGCAGCAUUUAUGAGAGACCUACCUGUCAGAUACUCACCCGAGUCUGACAUAAACAGGGUUCACGUCUGAAGACGAGCCUUCUUUGUUUAGCAACGCCACCUGGAGAUGUCUAAUUGUAAAAUAAACCCACUGACAGCUCAGAAGACGGACCAUCUAUCACAUUUGUCCUUUGACUGUGGGAUUUGGCAGGUUCGGUGGAUGAGAGCAAUUUGUAGUGCUUCCCGCAGCCCGCUGGGCCAUGCCAAGACCGAUUGGUGGACUUGGCCUCGUUCACAAAGCGUACAGCUUUUUAGGAGCUCCUCUGGCACUCAGUGAAUGGAUACUGGCAUAAUCGUUUGAAGGACGACAUUCCUGCUCCAUUUUUGUGGUGCAUUACUGGCUGUAAUAUCAAUAACUGUAUCCCACCUGUUCUCAAGGGAAUAAAAAUUACUGUGCAUAUGUUUUUACAAAACCAGCGUAGCAUUGCUUCAGUUUCCUGGUGAGAUGCGCUGAAAGUGUGAUUUUUAUUUCUACUGAAUCCUAGGGAGCAUACAAACUCAACAGAAUGUGCCUUCAGUGAAGUGUGAAUGGCUUAAAAUUGCUAUGGACACUUCUGAUGUUAAAUGUUGUAUUUAAAAUUGAAUUUCAAUUAAUAAAUGAAUCCAAGUAGGUUUAAAGGUUACAUCCACUUAAAAGUUGCUUCGAAUUCAGACUGUGCGCACAAAAACAAAAGGAAUUUCUUGCGGUUUUCAGCAGCUCUGAGUACAAACAUACACUUACACAAUAAAGUAAUAUAUAUCUAGAUGGAGUAAGUGGAAGGUUUGUGUGCAGGUAUGCAAAUUCUAUGAAUAGAUGAAUAGAAAUAUGUAUUUACAUUAGUAUCUACUUAUUAAGGCCCAGGUGGCAUAAAAACUAUAUAAAGAUUGAACUAGAACAUUAUUUGGAAAUAAAUUCAGCUUUUCAAAAUGAUUAAAGUCUCAUAUGUAUUGGAAAAAAGGAUGUGCUUCUACCACACAAACACUAUCAUACCUUUGCACAUAGAAAUAUACACAAUUAAACUAGUAAAGUAUCUAAAACAUUUACUGUAUGAAUA